AUCUCACCGCUGCGUCGGUGCAGGUAGGGGAUUGAGCUCGAGCUAGCUCGAAUAAAGGCUCUUUGCUUUUGCAUCGGACUCAGCUCCCUGGUGGUCUUUGGGGAUCGUGAAUUCUGGGCAUAACAAGGAGAGUGGUCUUCAGAAGGUGUGAGUGGCCAACAGCCGGCAGGAAAACAGACACUUCAGUCCUGCAACUUCAAGGAACUGAAUUCCACCAACAACCUUCAUGAGCUUCAAAGUGGAUUCUUCUCCAAAGCCUCCAAACAAUAGAUUGGAUAUAGCAAUCAGCUGAUGCCCUUCCAAGGCCUCAGGCUCCUUUGGUUUGCAAACUUGCCCUCACCGGACUGUCUGGAAUCUAGCCAUUUGAAUCUUAUCAGUCCGUUCUCCAUCACCAAAGGACUUCAGUGGGAGAGUGCCAACCAGGCUGUCAGCCACAGGCAAGCUUUCUGGAAAAGAUGUGCCAACUGCUGCAACAGAAAAUGCCGUUCCCUUGAAUAACUUUGUUAAUAUUUGAAAA